UUGCCUUAAACCACAUCAACAUGGAAAAACCACGCAUAUAAAGCGCGGCUCACUAUUGCUUGACCUGCUUUUUACUUGCGAUGGCUUCCACUACAGCUUGCUUGAUCGCACUAAUUAGUGUGUUGGCUUCUAUUGCCGAAUAUCAAGCAAGUCCUUGUCCAGUUUACAAGUGUUUGCCAAAUUUUCCCGAUUAUUGCACUCAGUCUUGUCCAGCUGGACAGAAAUUAGGAUGGGACACCCAAUGCCCUCGCUGUUGCAAGCCGUGCGUGAUACCGGAAGGAGGCGCAUGCAACCGUUCUGAGGAACCGCCUGUUCCUUGCGAGUGGCCAGCGACUUGCCUCAACAACAUUUGUACUGCAAGCUCAGAAACAACUCAGAAAUGGCUGCCAUAAACGUUUUUCGAGAUUGAUGCAUGCAAAUAUUGCGGGAUUGUUUUUAUGACAUUGUAUUUAAGGCUUUUUCUGUGUUGCGUCAAUAAAGAGAAAUCGUUUCUGAGAAAAAUAUUUAAGUCUGCAAAAAUGCGCGUACUUGAGUUGAAAAAACCAAUUCACAACAUCCAAAGUAAGACAAAACGGGAAUAAAUUACGACGCGUUGAGGAAGAAAAAUCGGAAAUCUUCCGCGGGUUUUUCUCUGAAGUGCAGAACUUCAAAUCAAAAUUUUGAAAGUUGGCAAACUUCCAAAAGACGAGCAGAACUGCACAAAACUAGAUGUAUUGAGUAGACAUUUAAAAAAAAUUAUCAGCAAACGAUUCAAAAUUACAUGUUCAGGAUUAAAAAGGUUAGACGAUUAAAAACGAAAAACUCACGAGUUUCUAAUGGAUUUGUUGUGUUGAGCCCUUUGGGGACGCCACAGGUUUAAACGCAGAUAAAACUUAAUUCUUUUUCUGUUUUUCUGUUUUUGUUUUUCCAUUCUAAAACGAUUUACAUACAUAACGCGGCAAAA
rnacentral:lncRNA from 1 species